AACGUAGGGGACAAGCGUUAUCCGGAUUUACUGGGCGUAAAGCGCCCGUAGGCGGCCUGACAAGUUGGACGUGAAAGCUCCUGGCUUAACUGGGAGAGGCCGUUCAAAACUGUCAAGCUAGAGUCUGGAAGAGGAGAGCGGAAUUCCCGGUGUAGUGGUGGAAUGCGUAGAGAUCGGGAAGAACACCCGUGGCGAAGGCGGUUCUCUGGGACGGUACUGACGCUGAGACGCGAAAGCGUGGGGAGCGAACAGG
rnacentral:rRNA from 1 species